AAACUCCGAAUGCCAUGUACUUAUACUCGGGAGUCAGACUGCGAGUGAUAAGAUCCGUAGUCGAAAGGGAAACAGCCCAGACCACCAGUUAAGGUCCCCAAAUAUAUGUUAAGUGGAAAAGGAUGUGGGGUUGCUUAGACAACCAGGAUGUUGGCUUAGAAGCAGCCACCAUUGAAAGAGUGCGUAAUAGCUCACUGGUCGAGUGACCCCGCGCCGAAAAUGUACCGGGGCUAAACAUAUUACCGAAACUGUGGAUGAACCUCUUUAGAGGUUCGUGGUAGGAGAGCGUUCUAAGGGCGGUGAAGUCAGACCGGAAGGACUGGUGGAGCGCUUAGAAGUGAGAAUGCCGGUAUGAGUAGCGAAAGAAGGGUGAGAAUCCCUUCCACCGAAUAUCUAAGGUUUCCUGAGGAAGGCUCGUCCGCUCAGGGUUAGUCGGGACCUAAGCCGAGGCCGAUAGGCGUAGGCGAUGGACAACAGGUAGAGAUUCCUGUACCAGUGCUAAUUGUUUAACCGAUGGGGUGACACAGAAGGAUAGGGAAUCGCACGAAUGGAAAUGUGCGUCCAAGCAGUGAGUGUGAGAAGUAGGCAAAUCCGCUUCUCGCGAAGCAUGAGCUGUGAUGGGGAAGGAAAUUAAGUACGGAAGUUCCUGAUUUCACGCUGUCAAGAAAAGCCUCUAGGAAGAGUAGUACUGCCCGUACCGCAAACCGACACAGGUAGAUGAGGAGAGAAUCCUAAGGUGAGCGAGAGAACUCUCGUUAAGGAACUCGGCAAAAUGACCCCGUAACUUCGGGAGAAGGGGUGCUCUAUUAGGGUGCAAGCCCGAGAGAGCCGCAGUGAAUAGGCCCAGGCGACUGUUUAGCAAAAACACAGGUCUCUGCAAAACCGUAAGGUGACGUAUAGGGGCUGACGCCUGCCCGGUGCUGGAAGGUUAAGAGGAGUGCUUAGCUUCGGCGAAGGUACGAAUUGAAGCCCCAGUAAACGGCGGCCGUAACUAUAACGGUCCUAAGGUAGCGAAAUUCCUUGUCGGGUAAGUUCCGACCCGCACGAAAGGCGCAACGAUCUGGGCACUGUCUCAACGAGAGACUCGGUGAAAUUAUAGUACCUGUGAAGAUGCAGGUUACCCGCGACAGGACGGAAAGACCCCGUGGAGCUUUACUGCAACCUGAUAUGGAAUGUUUGUACCGCUUGUACAGGAUAGGUAGGAGCCGAAGAGACGUGUGCGCUAGCAUACGAGGAGGCAAUGGUGGGAUACUACCCUGGCUGUAUGACCAUUCUAACCCGCCACGCUUAGCGCGUGGGGAGACAGUGUCAGGUGGGCAGUUUGACUGGGGCGGUCGCCUCCUAAAGAGUAACGGAGGCGCCCAAAGGUUCCCUCAGAAUGGAUGGAAAUCAUUCGCAGAGUGUAAAGGCACAAGGGAGCUUGACUGCGAGACUGACAAGUCGAGCAGGGACGAAAGUCGGGCUUAGUGAUCCGGUGGUUCCGCAUGGAAGGGCCAUCGCUCAACGGAUAAAAGCUACCCCGGGGAUAACAGGCUUAUCUCCCCCAAGAGUCCACAUCGACGGGGAGGUUUGGCACCUCGAUGUCGGCUCGUCGCAUCCUGGGGCUGUAGUCGGUCCCAAGGGUUGGGCUGUUCGCCCAUUAAAGCGGCACGCGAGCUGGGUUCAGAACGUCGUGAGACAGUUCGGUCCCUAUCCGUCGCGGGCGCAGGAAAUUUGAGAGGAGCUGUCCUUAGUACGAGAGGACCGGGAUGGACACACCGCUGGUGUACCAGUUGUUCCGCCAGGAGCAUCGCUGGGUAGCUAUGUGUGGCAGGGAUAAACGCUGAAAGCAUCUAAGCGUGAAGCCCCCCUCAAGAUGAGAUUUCCCAUUUCUUCGGAAAGUAAGAUCCCUGAAAGAUGAUCAGGUAGAUAGGUUUGGAGUGGAAGUGUAGCGAUACAUGGAGCGGACAAAUACUAAUCGAUCGAGGACUUAACCAAAA
rnacentral:rRNA from 1 species